CCGCAUCCCAUUUCUCCUCGAGGGAAAGAGGGAUGGGAUCUCGAAGCCCUCAAUCCGAUCGCGCCUCCUCUGCCGCCCUCGCCCGUCCAACUUCUUUCUCCUCUCCUUAUGACCGCUCAAGCCCUCCGAAUCCCCACACCUUCAACCCUCUUCGUCGUUUGUUUCCGACGAGAAGGGAGGUGCCAAGAAGAUCUCGGCUCCAAGCCCCUUUCAAACCUAAUGCCUUGCGAUCGAUUCCGCCGUCGAGAACUCACAUGAGAAGAAGAAGAAGAAGGGUCUCCGCGAUUUUCUUUUGAUGAAGGCGAGCGCUCUGUCUGGGCACUGGUUCAUCGACGGGUGGAUACCUUAUUGCACUGGACGCGCUGUUAUGUGAGUUGUCUUGUUUCUUUCCUCUUCUUGAUGAAUGGAGUUUGGCUAUUUGGUUAACGACUGUCGUACAGACCAAUUAUCUGGGGACAGAGGGCAUGCAUCUUUCUCAACGUUGAUCUUAAUUAAAGAAAAUGAUAUAUUUACUGAGCCUAAAUUCUACGAUAGAUUUUCUGCCAUAGCGAUUGUUAGUGCUGAGAAUGAACUCGUGGGAUGUAGAUAACCUUUAUAGAGAUUUGCUUAUGGAUUUGCAGACUAGCGUAUUUGGAUUUACAUAGAGUUGAGUAGUGAGAUGUACCCAGAGGUACAGUGUAACUAGAUUGAUCAGUUCAUACGGUGGAAUUGUUUAUACAAUCAAUUAUGUAUUUACUGUUCUUGUUAAAUCAAGAAAUGGGUUUCUUAUACAGACUAUAUUCUUUUUCUGUCCUAAUUCUAAACUAAACUUAUAGUUAUAACUAAAUAUAUUGGAUAAAUUCUUGUUCUGUAAAGAAUUUACCUCUCCGCAAACUCUGGUACAAAGAAAUAAAGACUUCACUGAAAUUGAGUCCUUAUGUAUCAAUGACUUGCAUCAUACUAUACUAAAAGCCUUUCUUAGGUUCACGCAAUCACAUGAUGGGGAUUUCUUAUUCACUUAAUCGCACUGUUAUAGAAUCUUAAUUCUUUCUCAUAAUUCUGAUAGCUGGUACUUGAUUAUUAUAUUGCUGAUAGGGGCUUUCUUAUUCACCUCCUUACAAUGUUAAAGAAUGUUAGUUCUUAAUAGUUGUAGUAAACACAAUAUUGCUUACAAGUUUGUGCAUGUUUUGUGAAUAGUAAUGUAGACCAUGAAAGUUGGGGGGAGUUGACUGUACUGGUUACGCAUAUGUCCGCCCAUUACUUGCAACCAUAGAUUGGACUCUGUUAUCCGGGUUCAAAUUGUUUUGAAUGGUGACCCUCUGAAUGAUCUGUCCUUUCACUGACUAUAUCGACAAAUUAUGAAGAUACCAAAACUAAAGGAAAAGCUGAAGGAAUUGGCAUGGUGGAUCUCAAGUUGCGGCUGCAAGAAAGGAACAACGGGACUUGUUUGGUUCUCAAAUUUGUUUGAAGACUGAAAACGGGUACAGCCAUUCGCCCUGCAAAAAUUGGCACGACCUUGAGCUACAAGAUUCAAGGACCUAUCAAAAUAAUUAAAAUGGACAACAUGAACUAACUGAAAAGAUCGACUUUGGCCACCUGUCUGAUUGGUAAUGUGAUCGUGGAGCCAGCAGAGGAUGAAGUUCCGCCUAAAUAGAAAAAAAGGCCUCUGAAGAAGAUGAGGAUGCAGAUGAUCUUUUGUCGAAUGCAAGCGACCAGAGCGAGAGGAGAUUGAUAACAUGUCCGUGUAUGGGCAUCUUCCUAUUGAGGAAUUUGACUAUUAUGAUCUCGAUGGAAGUGCUGAUAAGGACUAUGGCACUUGCAAUUGGUAGUAAUACAGAGAGAGGUCCUUCACCCAUGUGGACAUGGUAAUGAUGACGAGGGUGGUUGGAUGCAUGAUAUGGUGUGGUGAUGAUUUUGAUGACGUAGUAGUGUUGCGAUGGUGGUGGCACUGACCGAUGAUGACAAUGGUGAUGAUGAUCAAUCCAAUAUAAUUGGCAAGUGGAAGUUUGACACAUGUUCUCAAGCGUCACCAUCACCAUUUGCUAGUCCUGAAGACGAUGAACGCCUCAUGAUGAAUGAGAUGAGGCCCAACGUGAUAAGUCCAGAUCACAUACAGAAUAAGAAAAAGAAUUACAAGUCUAGCGGAGCAUAUUUCUCAGAAAAUGUUCUCUAUAUCCCAUAUGUUUGCAACUUUUAUUACUUCUUGACGUGAUAACAUGUGCAUAGAAGAAAUGCUUUUGUUUAGAAAAAAAAGAAGAAAAAGGUAAAUGCAAAGAACAUACGA